rnacentral:tRNA from 1 species
GAGGCUGUAACUCAGUGGUAGAGCGUGUGCUUAGCAUGUGUGAGGUCCUGGGUUCAAUCCCCAGUAUCUCCA